rnacentral:rRNA from 1 species
GACGAACGCUGGCGGCGUGCUUAACACAUGCAAGUCGAACGGAAAGGCCCUGCUUUUGUGGGGUGCUCGAGUGGCGAACGGGUGAGUAACACGUGAGUAACCUGCCCUUGACUUUGGGAUAACUUCAGGAAACUGGGGUUAAUACCGGAUAGGAGCUCCUGCUGCAUGGUGGGGGUUGGAAAGUUUCGGCGGUUGGGGAUGGACUCGCGGCUUAUCAGCUUGUUGGUGGGGUAGUGGCUUACCAAGGCUUUGACGGGUAGCCGGCCUGAGAGGGUGACCGGCCACAUUGGGACUGAAAUACGGCCCAGACUCCUACGGGAGGCAGCAGUGGGGAAUAUUGCACAAUGGGCGGAAGCCUGAUGCAGCAACGCCGCGUGCGGGAUGACGGCCUUCGGGUUGUAAACCGCUUUCGCCUGUGACGAAGCGUGAGUGACGGUAAUGGGUAAAGAAGCACCGGCUAACUACGUG